rnacentral:tRNA from 1 species
UCCCUGGCAGUCCAGUGGUUAGGACUUAGCGUUUUCACUGCCAUAGCCCAGGUUCUAUCCCUGGCCAGGGGA